AUUGUACGCUGGCGGCAGGCCUAACACAUGCAAGUCGAGCGGAGCGGCGGACGGGUGAGGAAUGCCUAGUAUUCUUCCUGGUAGCGGGGGAUAACGUCCGGAAACGGGCGGUAAUACCGCAUACUAUCAGAUGAGCCUAUGUCGGAUUAGCUCGUUGGUGGGGUAAAGGCCUACCAAGGAGCCGAUCCGUAACUGGUCUGAGAGGAUGAUCAUGCACACUGGAACUGAGACACGGUCCAGACUCCUACGGGAGGCAGCAGUGGGGAAUAUUGGAAAAUGGGCGAAAGCCUUAUCCAGCCAUGCCGCGUGUGUGAAGAAGGUCUUCGGAUUGUAAAGCACUGUCAGUUGGGAGGCGUGACCAACAGAAUAAGCACCGGCUAACUUCGUGCCAGCAGCCGCGGUAAUUC
rnacentral:rRNA from 1 species